rnacentral:rRNA from 1 species
GUAAUACGGAGGGUGCAAGCGUUAUCCGGAAUCAUUGGGUUUAAAGGGUCCGCAGGCGGUCAAUUAAGUCAGAGGUGAAAUCCCGCAGCUUAACUGUGGAACUGCCUUUGAUACUGGUUGACUUGAGUUAUACGGAAGUAGAUAGAAUAUGUAGUGUAGCGGUGAAAUGCAUAGAUAUUACAUAGAAUACCGAUUGCGAAGGCAGUCUACUACGUAUAUACUGACGCUCAUGGACGAAAGCGUGGGGAGCGAACAGGAUUAGAUACCCUGGUAGU